UUUCCAGGAGAUCACUGAUAUGACAUAUGCUUUUGUGGAUUCUCUUGGUUAGACAUAAGAAAUGGACAUACCUUGCAACAUAAAAUAAGCAUGUGAAUAUUCAUGAAAUACGAUGUUAUCCCAACACUAUGUGUAUAUUGUUUGAGAAUAUCAAUUCGUAACAAAAUGUAGAAGCAAAACUACACACUGCUAAAUCGUUUAAUAAAUGAAACAGUUGUGUCUUUCAUGAUUUAUUGUUUGAGCAAAAACAUUCGUCUUUUGGAUAAAGUAUGAUCAUAUUUUAUGUUAUGUUAUUUUCAAUACUUAAUCAAAAUCAUGGGUGUUAGAUUUUUCUCUAACAACUUUCCAUACCUCUUUUACAUGUGUUUUCCUUUCCCUUAUUGACUUUCCUUGUGGUCGAGAUUUGACUUUUGAAAUUGGGUUUCAUUUUGCCUUGCACAAAGACAUGUUUCCUUCUUCUCUACCCCAUCUUCGUUUUGAGUUUAACCAAUAUUUUUUAACAAUAAUUGGGCUUGAAAAGGACCAGUUAAACCUAUUUCUAAUAUUACUAAUUGCACCUCAAUACAAUUAUUGAAUUCCACAAAUUACAAGUCCAACAAGUACAAAAUAAAGAUAAAGAAGGAUUAUUUUAGUGAGCAAGAACAACUUAUCCUAACAUGCUUCUUGUGAUUCUUCUGCAUAUGGUGUAUUCUUACUCAUUUCCUUUUUAUCAUUCAUGCACUCAUUAACUAUAUCGAGUGUGAAUCACACCAAAAAGAAAUUUUGAACAAAGAACACACAAAAAAAGAUAAAAGCAAAUAAGUGUUACAAUUUGAUACUUUAUUGAUUCGCAUACAACAAGUACAAGCUACUUUUAUAUAACGUUAAAAAAUGGUUGUAAAAAUACCUGAGUUUUGAACUUGACUGAUAAUUACUUUUUGAGAAUUCAGUAUUAAGUAAAGAGAUCCACAGAAAGUUAUGAAUUCACCCUGAAAUAGUAUAAAAAAAACCCUUCAAAAUAAUAAUAGCAAAAAAAUUAGAAAAGGAUCCUUUUUUCCUACACUGCAUCAUGUCAACAUAUAAAUAUGCCCCGAUUACAGCAAAUCGCAAUGUGUUCACAUGGAUCAAGCUACAAACAUGAAAGUAUCAUUGCUCAAGAGAAGAUAGAAAAAGUCAAAGGGUUGUUAUAUAACAACUUAAAAAGAAUGGGUAGACCCAACCGGGUUUGAGCUUGAUGAAGAUUAAAGUGGGAAAAAAGGUAACAUUCUUAUCCACAUCUAAAUGAACUCAAACAUGCAAUGCGAUGCCCAGGUGAUAUUGAAAUGUGAUUGCACUAGCCCACCCACCACAAUGCAAAGCCAAAGACAUUAUUUAGAUAAUCUUUAAUAUGAUUGGAAGAGGAUUGUCAGCAUAGCUUCAUGAUAUAAAGUUAAAAGAGGAAGGAAGAUGAAACUACCCCCCGCCCCCCCUCCUCCCCAUACCCAAUAUAGGUAUUGCAAACAGUUGCAUAAAACUAACAUUGUUAUGAGAGCAAUACAUAUCCAGAACUAAAAACAAUUUCCUAAACAGCACCAGCACCAUGCUACUAGUGAUCCUAAUAUUCAAAAAAAUGUUUGAAGGAAAGACGUGACCACAAAUACCUGCAAGUUCCUUUGAAGUUCUUGAGUCUUUCUUUGAAGAGCUGAUAAUAGCAAACAAAUCUUCUAAUCUUUUCCGCUGCUCCCAUUCAAGCAGAUACCAUUCUCCCUUGGGAGCUUUGAUACUAAAUUGACAAAAAACCGAAUAAAAAAAUAGAAGAAAACAAGAACUAUGUAUUGAUAAAUUCUGUGGUACAAAGAACGAGUCCUCUUUACAAGGAAAUAUCAGUAGCUAUGAAGGAAUUGAAUAACAAUUGAAUGGAUCUAUGCCCCAUGUAAAAUGAUUGAAACAGAGAAAUUUCACAAUUCUGAGAUAGACACUUCUCUACUCUCAACCGAAACCAAUCACCAAUUGCUAAUUCUCUUCCCUUCUUUCAGCUAUCCCUCACCCCCUAAUAAUUUUUUCAGCCUGAUUUGUUUUAAUCCCUUCAACCAAUUUAUCUAGACCACCCGCCCAUUCUGUUAUCUUUGCUGUCUCUCCUCCCUUUCCACUUAUUCUGCUGUCAUCUGCCUCUCCACUUGCAUAUACUCAAGAACCUUGAGCGUCCAGCAGCCCAUUUAUUUCCUUCACUUCUCCCUCUUAUUCCUUCACUUCUCCCUCUUAUCCUUUUCCCUCUUGUAGGCUUGUAAAUUGGGCCUAUCAGAUGAAUUCACAUUUCUCCCCAAUAGAUUUUUUUUCCCCCCACUGUGAUAGAAGUUAUAGUUCAGCAAC
rnacentral:lncRNA from 1 species